rnacentral:rRNA from 1 species
UAUUAUGAGAGUUUGAUCCUGGCUCAGGAUGAACGCUGGCGGCGUGCCUAACACAUGCAAGUCGAGCGAAGGAUAUAUAGUGAAAUCUUCGGAUUGAUCUAUAUAAACUUAGCGGCGGAUGGGUGAGUAACGCGUGAGAAAUCUACCAUGCACUAGGGGAUAGCCUCGGGAAACUGGGAAUAAUACCCUAUGACACUUACAUUUCGCAUGAAAAGUAAGUUAAAGCGUUUAGCGGUGCUUGAUGAUCUCGCGUCCCAUUAGUUAGUUGGUGAGGUAAUGGCUCACCAAGACUACGAUGGGUAGCCGGCCUGAGAGGGUGACCGGCCACACUGGAACUGAGACACGGUCCAGACUCCUACGGGAGGCAGCAGUGGGGAAUAUUGCACA